CAAUAGCGUAUAUUAAAGUUGUUGCAGUUUAAAAGCUCGUAGUUGGAUUUCUGGUGGGAGCGAUCGGUCUGGCGCUUAGCGCGAGUACUUGCAUCGUCUCCGGCCAUCCUUGGGGAGAGUCUGUCUGGCAUUAGGUUGUCGGGCAGAGGAUCCUCAUCGUUUACUGUGAAAAAAUUAGAGUGUUCAAAGCAGGCUUAUACCGUUGAAUAUAUUAGCAUGGGAUAAUAAGAUAGGACUUUGGUACUAUUUUGUUGGUUUGCGCACCAAAGUAAUGAUUAAUAGGGACAGUUGGGGGUAUUCGUAUUCCGUUGUCAGAGGUGAAAUUCUUGGAUUUACGGAAGACGAACUACUGCGAAAGCAUUUACCAAGGAUGUUUUCAUUAA
rnacentral:rRNA from 1 species